UACGGGGGGGGCAAGCGUUGUUCGGAAUUACUGGGCGUAAAGGGUGCGUAGGCGGCGGGGAAAGUCUGAUGUGAAAUCCUGGGGCUCAACCCUGGAACUGCAUUGGAUACUUCCUUGCUAGAGUACUGGAGAGGAAACUGGAAUUUACGGUGUAGCAGUGAAAUGCGUAGAGAUCGUAAGGAAGACCAGUGGCGAAGGCGAGUUUCUGGACAGUUACUGACGCUGAGGCACGAAGGCCAGGGGAGCAAACGGG
rnacentral:rRNA from 1 species